rnacentral:rRNA from 1 species
AUUGAACGCUGGCGGCAUGCUUUACACAUGCAAGUCGAACGGUAACAGGCCGCAAGGUGCUGACGAGUGGCGAACGGGUGAGUAAUGCAUCGGAACGUGCCCAGUCGUGGGGGAUAACGCAGCGAAAGCUGCGCUAAUACCGCAUACGAUCUAUGGAUGAAAGCGGGGGACCGUAAGGCCUCGCGCGAUUGGAGCGGCCGAUGUCAGAUUAGGUAGUUGGUGGGGUAAAGGCUCACCAAGCCGACGAUCUGUAGCUGGUCUGAGAGGACGACCAGCCACACUGGGACUGAGGCACGGCCCAGACUCCUACGGGAGGCAGCAGUGGGGAAUUUUGGACAAUGGGCGCAAGCCUGAUCCAGCAAUGCCGCGUGCAGGAAGAAGGCCUUCGGGUUGUAAACUGCUUUUGUACGGAACGAAACGACUCUGGUUAAUACCUGGGGCUAAUGACGGUACCGUAAGAAUAAGCACCGGCUAACUACGUGCCAGCAGCCGCAGUAACAC